GGUUUGGGUCUGAUAUCUGCCUGCUGAGAGGACUGAACUGAAGCUGCUGGUCUGUGUGUGUUGUCUGCCUGCCUAGAGGACUGACUGGUCUGCAUCUGCUGAGUCAUAUUUGGUGUAUGAUAGGCACUGAACUGCUGCCAAAGAGGACUGCGCUCACCCACAAAGAACUAUUGCUGAACAGGUAUACUUCCUCCAUAUCCUAAUAACUUUUCUCUUUCACGUGGGUGGUGGGAAAGAGGAAAGAGGAAAGGUUGAAUGCUUAUUAAAAGUAGACUGCAAAAAUUAUGACCACAUAUGAGUAACAGAGGAUAUGAAAUACAAAAAUAAAUUCCUGAAACUCAAUAUAACUGGACCAAAGAUGAAACUUGAGUUGUAUCUCUGGUCCCGGAGGAGAUACAACAUCUUGAAUAACCCAGAAGACCAUUAAUAGAUAACUACCUAAAGCUAGUACCAGGAGCCAAAGUAGUAUUUAUUAUCUAGCAGGCUGUUUUCUGAUAAUGAAUAAAGCCUUUUUUUCGUCUGUGCUGGCAUGCAUGUAGUGUCCUCCACUGGAGCAUGGGCAACCUGCCAGUGGCUAGAUCCCCAAAGAAAAAUAACUCUACUUCCACUGACAGCCAUCAGCUGCCAGUAGUUUCUCAAUGAGGGAUGGGAUCUGUGACUCUCCAUUGUUGUGGUAGUAUAUUAAUCUGCUCUAUACUUCCUGGUUGGUAUGUGCAUGCUUGUUGCUACUGCCCCAAUGUUUUAGAUUCCUUGAAAGAAAGACAUACAUACACAGCCUUAUAGUUUUAAUACCUUAAAUACCUCAAUGGCUGGGCCACUCCUUAACUCCCCAUGGGUAACACACAUUCUCCUCCGAUAUUCCUGAGCGAAUACUUAUUAAAUCUAUAUUGCAUCUUUGCUGCACUGGACCCCGGGGGCAGCUUUCUUGGGGCUGAUUUCCUCCUGAACCUACAUGUUGGCUCUCUUUCCCUCCUGUACUUUUUCAGCAUGGUCCAUCUCCUACCACCUCAUCAUGGUGGAAACUCCUCUUCCUUCUUCCCUUGGUCCCUUCCUAUGAAUCCUAAAAGUCCAGCUUCUGUCCAGCCAUUGGCCACAGAAAACUUUAUUGACAAGUCAAAACUAAGUAGGGAUAGGCUUCCUUUAGUUCUGUGGGACACUGUAAACAGAUUUUUGGGUAAUAUAAUUAGCAUGAGAACACAAGCCUCUACACUCCAUGCAUGCUAGAAUAUUGACUGGCUUGGUCUUAUACAAGUCUUCUGAAGAUAACGACAGGUACUUGUGAGUUCUUGAGAGUAUCAGCCUUUUUAUAUCCAGAAAACAGCCUUUCACACAAGUUCUGCCCAUCCCUUGGCUCUUACAUUGUUUCUGCCCAGUCUUCUGUUAUGUCCCCCAAUCCUUUGGGUGGGUGAUUGACAUAGCUGUCCUGUUAAUGGCUGAGAACUCUAAGUCAUUUAUUCUGAACACUUCAUUAACUGCUGCCAACU
rnacentral:lncRNA from 1 species